CUUCCGGUAUCGGUUUGUUGACGUUUUAUGUUUUGCAGAUUCAGAAUCAUCAUCCAAAUUCAUCGAAGUCAAUUCGAAACUUUAGCAGAUUUUAACAAAAAAUUAUGUAUCCUUAUCUACAAAUUCAUAUUUUGGUUCAUGUUUUACAGAUUACAAAGUUGAUCAUGACUAAGAAAAUCAAAUAAGCCGACUCCGAUGGCAAAAGUUGUCGGUGCAAGUUGUCAACCCUAUCAAAUUACGAUAGGGCUUUAAACGGUCUCCCUUUUCUCCACAAAGGGUUAUAACUACCCCCAAUUGUUUGAAGUUGAUCAACCCAUAAGAGAUACAUUGGCAAUAAAACAUUUAUCGUGCAGAAAUAGAUACAUAGAUUGAUUGAAUAAUAAACAGUAAUGGAUUUGGGGUUUCCAGCACACAUUUUAUAUUCCCAAGGCAAAAAACUGAGUAGUGUUAUGAAAGAAAAGCCUAGCCUAUGCUGUCAUAAAACUUUCUAGAACUUGGACUCAAAAAUCAACCAAUCUAAAUACUGGUUUUAGUCAAAUUAGUGUUUUGUUCACAAAUUUUUAGUCCGAGAUUACUCUGACGUCCAACGGCUGUUUUGCCAGACAAGCUUGGGCCGUGCGACGUCAGAGCUCGUCCCAUAUCAAAAAGUGGGUAUUUGCCCACCCAAAAUAGAUGCGCUGCUUCGUCGCUUCUGAUGCCAACUGACGGCCUUGGAAUUAUAUAAAUUGGGCAUCAAUCUAUAUAUUCAUUCUGUAUUCUGUAUUCUGUAGGUGUCGCUGUUGACACUGGAUUGUCUCCCUUGUAAUUAUUUAAAUCUCGCGUGUAUUUAUAUUUCACUCUGGUAAACAACUCACUUGUACUUUAAAAUACAUACUAUUAGGUGGCAACUGUGCUUAACAUAUUUUUCCAAAAAUUAAAAAAUAUAUCUACAUUUAUUAAUUUACAUGAAAAUUUAAAGGAAAAGAAAGAAAAAAAAUCAAGAAAAAAAAAUAAAAAAAAUCUAACAUUACUUUUAUCAAACCGGCGCGACUCGCAAAUAAAGUCACCCAACAAUCGCAUUAGUGUUUCAUUAGAGACGGAGACAUUGUCGUUUUUUUCUAUUGACAAUAAAAGUUCCAAAUCAAUAUGUAACGAUCCUGUGUUGAAGUAUAUCUCAUGUAUAAGUUUCUGUCUUGCCUCUUCAUAAUUUUCACAAAAUAGUAAAUAGUGUUCCACAGUUUCUAAUUGACCGCAUUCACACUUUGGGUCUAUAUUUUGAUUGAUUUUGUUUUGAUAAUUUUUUAGGUAGUAUCCGGAUCUUAAAUUUCUAAUAAUUUUUGCUGUUUUGUGAUCUGGAUAAUCAAAUGUCGAUUUAUUGCUGACAGUCUGAUGAAAGUUAUAAUAAAAUCUUCCUGUAUCACUAUUAUCCCAUCUAUGUUGCCACUUUUUAUUUACUAAAAUUCUUGCUGCUGUUUUAAUAUCUUGUUUAGUUACUGUAAUAUGGGCUUCUUUCUGAAUUUGAUUUGCCUCUUUAGCUGCCUCUUUAGCUAGUUUAUCAGCUAUUUCAUUUCCUCUAACAUCUGCAUGUCCAGGGGUCCAAUCAAAAUUAAUUCUUAUUCCAUGGUGUUUUUGGAUACAUUUAAUAAGGGAAAUAAUUUCAUGUGAAGUGGAUCUGUUAUUUUCAAUUUUCCAAUUUAAUGUUAAAAUUCCAAUUGCUGUUUGACUGUCCGAAAAUAUUUUUACUUCUUCAAUUAAUGUUUUGUUUUCAAUUCUGCUUACAUAAUCUAAUACUAAUUUUAUUGCAACCAGCUCUGCCAAAAGAAUUGAACCCCUUUUUGAAACUGGUUGUUUAAGUUCAAUUUCUUUAUUGUUGAAGAUUACAAUUGCACCUGCUCCACAAGGUCCUGGGUUGGAUUGGCAAGAACCGUCUGUAAAAGCAACAACUGUUGAUGGAGAUACUGUGUUAAGUUUGUUUAAUAUUAAAUUUUUUCCUGUGAAUUUUUGUUCUUUAGUUCUGUUUUUUGAGGAACCAAGAGUACGCCAAUAUUCUGGUGGAGAUUUUGAUGCUUGUAGACCUUGAAAUUGAUAUUCUGGUUCUAUGUCAUCAAUACUGAUAUCUGUUUCUUCUUUCAUGUUUUUUGCUUGUUGUAACAUUAAGCCUAAAGGUGAUAUGAACUUGUCCACUGUUUCUUUGUUUUUCCAUUCAUCUAUUUUGUUUCUGAUAGGGAUUUUGGUUGAAUAUGAAUUUAGUCUUGCAAUAUCUCUAAUAGCCAUUUCUUCUCUUCUAAGAUCUAAUGGCAAAACUCCUGCCAUAUUCAUUUAAGAACCAGAAUGAAAAAAAAACAAGUAUGGCAGGUCUACGACUAGCGUCGAAUAUACAAACACAUAAUUUUUUUGUAUUUUUGCCUGAAACAAGUAUGAAUUAAAUAUGUUUUACUUCUAGUCAUUUCUAAUUUCCUUAACAGUUUAUUCAGAUAAUUAAAGAAAGAUGGCGGUUCCAGCUAAGAUUGUUCUGAAGAGUACCACUAAGAUGUCUUUGAAUGAUAGGUGAGGAGAUGGAGGAGGAGCAUGUUCCUGGCAGAGAUUGCCUGGAAAAGUUGGAAGGAAAGAAAUUUAGAGAGAAUUUUUUCUCUAUCUGUCAUUUCUCUAAUGACCAAAGGUCAUUUCUAUUGACCAAAGGUCAUUUCUAUUGACCAGAAGUCUUCUCUGUGGCUUGAUGCCUUUUUUCAAGGCUAGUGCAAAAGAGAAUGACAACAAAAAGCUAUGCAAGCCAAAAUGAAACAAUGCCACUGCACAAAUGUGCAAUUGGGGUCAAAACCUGAUUUUGCCACUUAAUAUGUUAAAUGAAUCAGAUUGCAUGCUUGCAUGCUAGUCUAACAAUACACAUGUUUUACAUGUAUGGUUAAAGUAACUAGUCCUAUCCUGUUGGCCACAGGUGAAAAAGGACAAAAACUAGAGUCAAAGAGGCUGAAAUUUGACAAGUGGCAGAAAUUUGACAAGUGGCAGAAAUUUGACAAGUGGCAAAACAGAAAGAGUUGCAAUACAUGGCAAGAAGUCUUGAGAGAAGCAAUAGUAAACCACAAGCACAGAGCAGUGCCAUUGGAUCAUGUGGAUAGCAAAAUAACAAAAAUCCAGUUACUAUACUGAACUUUUCUAUGCAUGCAUGUACAAGACUAGAUUUUCUAGAUUUGAAAAAGCUUCACUUUAGAUAUUUUCUUGCAUGUUUUUUUGCUAAAAGUUAAUGUCAUAUAUUAAAGUAAUAAUGGGUUAGAAAAAUCUGAUUUCCUAUUUUAAACUCAUAUAUAUAAAGUAUAGUCGAAAGCAAUA
rnacentral:lncRNA from 1 species